UACGGAGGAUGCAAGCGUUAUCCGGAUUCAUUGGGCGUAAAGAGCGUGUAGGCGGCUCGGUAAGUCCGCUGUGAAAGUCCAGGGCUCAACCCUGGAAUGCCGGUGGAAACUGUCGAGCUAGAGUCCGGAAGAGGCGAGUGGAAUUCCUGGUGUAGCGGUGAAAUGCGCAGAUAUCAGGAGGAACACCAAUGGCGAAGGCAGCUCGCUGGGACGGUACUGACGCUGGAGACGCGAAAGCGUGGGGAGCAAACAGG
rnacentral:rRNA from 1 species